UACGGAGGGUGCAAGCGUUAAUCGGAAUUACCGGGCGUAAAGCGCACGUAGGUGGUUUGUUAAGCCAGCUGUGAAAUCCCCGGGCUCAACCUGGGCACUGCAGUUGGAACUGGCAAGCUAGAGUAGGGUAGAGGGGUGUGGAAUUCCAGGUGUAGCGGUGAAAUGCGUAGAUAUCUGGAGGAACAUCAGUGGCGAAGGCGACACCCUGGACUCAUACUGACACUGAGGUGCGAAAGCGUGGGGAGCAAACAGG
rnacentral:rRNA from 1 species